rnacentral:rRNA from 1 species
UACGGAGGGUGCGAGCGUUGUCCGGAAUCACUGGGCGUAAAGGGCGCGUAGGCGGCGCGGGAAGUCAUCGGUGAAAGUUCAGGGCUCAACUCUGAAUCGGCCGGUGAUACUCUCGUGCUUGAGCUCUGUAGAGGCAGGUGGAAUUCCGGGUGUAGCGGUGGAAUGCGUAGAGAUCCGGAAGAACACCGGUGGCGAAGGCGGCCUGCUGGGCAGUAGCUGACGCUGAUGCGCGACAGCGUGGGGAGCAAACAGG